rnacentral:rRNA from 1 species
GACGAACGCUGGCGGCGUGCCUAAUACAUGCAAGUAGAACGCACAGUUUAUACCGUAGCUUGCUACACCAUAGACUGUGAGUUGCGAACGGGUGAGUAACGCGUAGGUAACCUGCCUGGUAGCGGGGGAUAACUAUUGGAAACGAUAGCUAAUACCGCAUAAUAUUAAUUAUUGCAUGAUAAUUAAUUGAAAGGUGCAAUUGCACCACUACCAGAUGGACCUGCGUUGUAUUAGCUAGUAGGUGAGGUAACGGCUCACCUAGGCGACGAUGCAUAGCCGACCUGAGAGGGUGAUCGGCCACACUGGGACUGAGACACGGCCCAGACUCCUACGGGAGGCAGCAGUAGGGAAUCUUCGGCAAUGGACGAAAGUCUGACCGAGCAACGCCGCGUGAGUGAAGAAGGUUUUCGGAUCGUAAAGCUCUGUUGUAAGAGAAGAACGGGUGUGAGAGUGGAAAGUUCACACUGUGACGGUAUCUUACCAGAAGGGGACGGCUAACUACGUG